AUCAUAGUCAUAAUUACUGCAGCUCAAUUCAUAACAGUGAAGCUGUGGAAACAGUCUAAGUCCUUAUCAAUACAGCAAGAAAAUAUGGUGUACGUAUUCACACCACGGAAUAUUAUGCAGACAUAAAGAAGAAUGAAAUCGUGUCAUUUGCAGAAAGAAAGAUGGAACUGGAGAUUAUCGCGUUAAGUGAAAGAAGCCAGGCUCAAACAACACACUUUCUUUCAAGUGAGGCCUCUAGUAAAGACAUUUUAAAAAGCAAAAUGGGAUGAGAAGAAGAAGAAGAUCAGGAGAAGGGGAAAAGACAGAACAAGGGAAGGGGAGUAAUGGAGUGAGGGAAGUGACCAAGUAUGCUCUGUGCAUGCAUAAAUGCACCCGACUGAAAGCCUCCCAUCUCUAGAACUAACAUUGCCAAGAAUUAAAAGAAUGAAGCUCCCUGUUGGAAAGUUCGGCAUCACCCAAGUAAGUGCUUCAGCUUCCUGUAUGGGUACAUCCAUUGGUUCUAGGUGAGAAGUAAAUAAAGGACAAUACUGCGCCUUUCUGCUCCUCUCCAUAGCCUGAUGCAUUCAACAUCACUGGUCAUUCAACAG
rnacentral:lncRNA from 1 species